rnacentral:misc_RNA from 1 species
GUAGGUGAACCUGCGGAAGGAUCAUUAAUGAGUUAGGGUCUUCGGGCCCGAACCUCCAACCCUUUGUCGUUAUAUAAAAACCCUUGUUGCUUCGGCGGGACUCGGGGGCCCCCUCACGGGACGCCGCCGCGCCGGGCCUCCGGGCCCGGAUCGUUCCCGCCGGAGUCAAACCAAACUCUUGUUUUAACAGUAUCGUCUGAGUAAAUUGAUAAAUCAAUUAAAACUUUCAACAACGGAUCUCUUGGUUCUG